AGGGUUUGAUCAUGGCUCAGAAUGAACGUUGGCGGCGUGGAUUAGGCAUGCAAGUCGAGCGAGAAAUUCUAAAAAGAUACUUCGGUUGAUUUUUAGAAUGGACAGCGGCGAAAGGGAGAGUAACGAGUAGAUACGUACCCAAGGGUCCAGGAUAGCCAUGCGAAAGCGUGAGUAAUACUGGAUAAUGUCUCCGGACCAAAGAUUUAUUGCCCUUGGAGCGGUUUGCUUACUAUUAGCUUGUUGGUGGGGUAAAGGCCUACCAAGGCAAAGAUGGUUAGCGGGUGUGAGAGCAUGGCCCGUCUCACUGGGACUGAGACACUGCCCAGACACCUACGGGUGGCUGCAGUCGAGAAUCUUCCGCAAUGGACGAAAGUCUGACGGAGCGACGCCGCGUGCUGGAUGAAGGCCUUCGGGUUGUAAACAGCUGUCGUAGGGGAGGAAAUUUUGACCGAUCCUAGGAGGAAGCACAGGCUGAGUUCGUGCCAGCAGCCGCGGUAAUACGAACUGUGCAAACGUUAUUCGGAAUCACUGGGCUUAAAGGGUGCGUAGGCGGGUUGGUAGGUCAGAUGUGAAAGCCCACGGCUCAACCGUGGAAUUGCGUUUGAAACCACUAGUCUUGAGGGGAUCAGAGGAGAGCGGAACUGAUGGUGGAGCGGUGAAAUGCGUUGAUAUUAUCAGGAACACCGGUGGCGAAAGCGGCUCUCUGGGAUCUUUCUGACGCUGAGGCACGAAAGCUAGGGGAGCGAACGGGAUUAGAUACCCCGGUAGUCCUAGCUGUAAACGAUCUGUACUAGUCCGUGGGGACUCCCACAUCUUCUCGGACGUAGCGAAAGUGUUAAGUACAGCGCCUGGGGAGUAUGGUCGCAAGGCUGAAACUCAAAGGAAUUGACGGGGGCUCACACAAGCGGUGGGAGGA
rnacentral:rRNA from 1 species